CGGGACGUGGCGCAGCUUGGUAGCGCACCUCGUUUGGGACGAGGGGGUCGCAGGUUCAAAUCCUGUCGUCCCGA
rnacentral:tRNA from 1 species